rnacentral:rRNA from 1 species
GACGUUCAAGACUGGAGAGCUAGAGGAAGGCAGAGGUAGAUGGAACUCCGGGAGUAGUGGUGAAAUGCGUAGAUAUCCGGAAGAACACCAGAGGCGAAAGCGAUCUACUGGGCCUUAGCAGACACUGAGACGCGAAAGCCAGGGUAGCAAACGGGAUUAGAGACCCCGGUAGUCCUGGCCGUAAACGAUGUAGACUAGGCGCUUGUCGGGCAAAACCGAUGAGUGUCGAAGCGAACGCGAUAAGUCUACCGCCUGGGGAGUACGGUCGCAAGAUUAAAACUCAAAGGAAUUGACGGGGGCCCGCACAAGCAGCGGAGCGUGUGGUUUAAUUCGAUGAUACACGAAGAACCUUACCAGGGUUUGACAUACAAGUGGUAGAGAAGCGAAAGUGGAACGACCCUUCGGGGAGCCUGAACAGGUGCUGCAUGGCUGGCGUCAGCUCGUGUCGUGAGA